UUGCCAGCACGCAAAAUGAACUAAAGAUAAGAUAAAAAACCAAAAACCAGCUACUAGGAAAGUAGGUGUAAGAUGGAACGCCUUUGUUUGCUUCAGACCCUUUCCCUUCUACUACGUCUCCUUCAAAUUACCCGAUCAUGGAGACUCAUUACACCCCCUCUUCAGACGUGCCCUAAUCAGGCGGAUCCGUCCACCAUCGAUCCUCCUCUACUGCAGUCACAGCAAACAUGGGCACACCAUUUGACAGAUAAGUUUCUUUCCAUCUCCUUAUCCCCUUUGUCACCAAUGUGUGGGCUACUUCAUUUGCUUUUCUCAACGUAUACCGGAAACUACAACUUUCAAAACCCCCUUGACAAUUUUUGAGUUUCUAAUGUGUGCCCCUAUUUUAGAUCUAUCAUCACCAUCUACCUACAACUUUUUGAUACUUGUUAAUGUGUCCCCCUCAAUCUCCACCUCUCGAUGGCCCAUACACAGUCCCAACUGCAUCGUCUGGCAGCACACAAGGGCUUCCACCAUAAAUGCCAAUGAGCUCUUCGGCAACCUCCAUCUCUCCAACUCCAGCCUCCAAGGCAAUAUGUUUUGGGCAAGUGCCUCCAUCUCCUGUAUGUAACUGUAUAUUCGACUUACAACAUCCUCAGCCCUCUAUGUUUCCUUAUCACGAACCAAUAUGCUUUUGGCUAACCAUAUUGCCCAUACUACGCAUCUUAUUAUUCCGCAUUGGAAUAGAGAAUUGUUUGUAAAAAUGUAUGUCAUCCACUAUAUAUAAUUAGUUUCUGACAUAUCUUGUGGCCAUAUGUGUAGCAACUGCCAUAUCCCUUACGAAGCUAAUCAGUCCCGAAAGACAUGUUUUGUAGUUUCAGAUCCCUCACCACAUCUUGGGCACUUAGUUGAACCCAUCACCCUUCGUACUGUAAAUUAGAAAAAAUAGAGAUAAAAUUAUAAAAAGCUUUCCAGCUUCUAA